rnacentral:rRNA from 1 species
UACGGAGGAUCCAAGCGUUAUCCGGAAUUACUGGGCGUAAAGAGUUGCGUAGGUGGCAUAGUAAGUUGGUAGUGAAAGCGUGUGGCUCAACCAUACUCACAUUACCAAAACUGCUGAGCUAGAGGAUGAGAGAGGUUAUUGGAAUUCCCAGUGUAGGAGUGAAAUCCGUAGAUAUUGGGAGGAACACCGAUGGCGUUAGGCAGAUAACUGGCUCAUUCCUGACACUAAGGCACGAAAGCGUGGGGAGCAAACGGG